AUUGAACGCUGGCGGCAGGCCUAACACAUGCAAGUCGAGCGAGCGGCGGACGGGGGAGUAAUGUAUGGGGACUGCCCGAUAGAGGGGGAUAAAUAAUGGAAACGGUAGCUAAUACCGCAUACUAUCGGAUAACCCAUAUGGGAUUAGCUAGUAGGUGAGGUAAUGGCUCACCUAGGCGACGAUCCCUAGCUGGUCUGAGAGGAUGAUCAGCCACUCUGGGACUGAGACACGGCCCAGCCUCCUGCGGCGGCCGCAGUGGGGAAUAGUUCACAAGCGGCGCAAGCCUUAUUCAGCCAGGCCGCGUGUAUGAAGAAGGCCCUAGGGUUGUAAAGUACAUUCAGUCGGGAGGCGUUACCGACAGAGGAAGCACCGGCUAACUCCGUGCCAGCAGCCGCGGUAAUAC
rnacentral:rRNA from 1 species